rnacentral:piRNA from 1 species
UGAGCAGAAGAAAGAUACAUGAAUCUUCAG